CCUAUGUUUCUUUAAAAGUUUGUACAUAGUUUUUUACUAAAAGACAAGGCAGGAUGGGUAUAAAAUAGGGUGUGGUGAACUGAGGGUUUGUGGGAAAAAGAAGGUUGGAAAUAAAAGACAAUAAGAAAACAUUUGGGCAAAACCCGUGUGUGACGAGUUUUUGUGUCUGGAUACAACAUUUUAGCAGACGAGGAUGGCUGAGUUCACGUUACCACCUCCUAACCCGUUCCUGACCAUCCCAGUUUUUACUUUUAUGACUACAAAUACUUAUUGCGACUUCAAACUGCAGAAGAGAGCUGAUGUUGCAAGAUGUCGUGCAAGCUGCUGAUGGAUGGCGAGUGCUGGGGCUGCUGUUUGCGCUUUUUUGUGAGUUUCUACAUGGAAGGCAGAAUGAAAAUGAAUUCACAACACAAGAUUGAGCAACGCAAGCUUUACAAGAAAAUCUGGGUGGCAGACUUCUCGCUGUUCUCUGCUGUUUUUAAACAGUUCACACCCAGCCUAGUCUUCUGAAAUAAAUGUACAGGGUGGUCCAGAUCUAAUUAUGCAAUUAUGAACACAUCGCACCUGCUGUUUGACUGACAGCCAUCUCUCCACCAUUUUGGAAUCUAUCGGCAACAAAAAUAAUUUUUUGUGAAUUUUCUAUGUAAUAAACUUAAUAAUUUAUAGCAUAAUGAAAAUUGCAUAAUUAGAUCUGGACCACCCUAUACUAUUGCUAUUGAAUGUAUUUUUCACAUGCAAACUGUUCUGCUAUUUGCACACUUCUAUUACACAUUAUGGAUGUGGGGUUUACUGUUCUUCCCAUGUAAGUGUGCGUUUUUCCCCAAGUACUCCAGUUCUCUUCUCAGAAGCAUGCAGGACUAUUUGGUAAUUGUAAAUUCGCAUUGUAUAUGUGUAUAAGAAUUUCCUGCAGUGGACUGGUAUCUCUGACCUUGCACCUGAUGCUUGUGAUGGCUACUAUGUCCCUGAAUUGGAUUAACAUUGUUUAAAAAUGAGACAUCAUGUUAUUAACUUAUAUAUUAUAAUGAGAAAACCUUAUGAUGAUGCUAGCUAUUAAUAGAACUUUAUGAAAUAAAGAUUGUGGAAGGUGUUGGCACUAUGGAGGCACAGGAGAGCGGGUAGUGGUAAGUCCCACCUAGGAAGAGAGAGAGACAGAUGGCUGGAGUACAGCAGAGCCAAAAGAAAACAACAGAUUGCUCCCAAUUAGGAACAGUGUUGCAUCGCUGCUAAAAUAAGAAAACAGGUUGCCUGGAUGCUGCGUUACAGGCACAACACCUUAGAAUAUGAUCAAGGCUCACUGAUGCAAUUGGGCAGGUGGCAUUUUAACUUGGUGGUGGACCCCUUCCCUUGCUGACCCUUAUAGAGUCCCUAGCCCAGGAGUGAACCCAAGAAGGGUUUGUGGCCCUCCUUCCUACCAGUUUGGAGUUUUGGCAGAUAGAAGUGGUUCAAAGUCUAAGUGU